AUAGAGAGAACUGAACCACAGAGAGAUGAAUAGGGUUCUCUUGAGGAAAGCAUUUAAUUUUUUUGCCACAACUUGUUGCUACCUAUUUGAGAAGAUGAUCAA